GACGGAGGGUGCAAGCGUUGUUCGGAAUUACUGGGCGUAAAGCGUACGUAGGCGGUGGAUUAAGUCGAAUGUUAAAGCCUGGGGCUCAACCCCAGAGAUGCAUUCGAUACUGGUUCACUAGAGGGUGAUAGAGGAAAGCGGAAUUCCGAGUGUAGCGUUGAAAUGCGUAGAUAUUCGGAGGAACAUCAGUAGCGAAGGCGGCUUUCUGGGUCACACCUGACGCUGAGGUACGAAAGCGUGGGGAGCAAACAGG
rnacentral:misc_RNA from 1 species